rnacentral:rRNA from 1 species
UACGAGGGGGGCUAGCGUUGCUCGGAAUUACUGGGCGUAAAGGGCGCGUAGGCGGCGCUACAAGUCAGGCGUGAAAUUCCUGGGCUUAACCUGGGGGCUGCGCUUGAGACUGUGGUGCUAGAGGAUGGAAGAGGGUCGUGGAAUUCCCAGUGUAGUGGUGAAAUUCGUAGAUAUUGGGAAGAACACCGGUGGCGAAGGCGGCGACCUGGUCCAUUACUGACGCUGAGGCGCGACAGCGUGGGGAGCAAACAGG